rnacentral:rRNA from 1 species
UACGGGGGGGGCAAGCGUUGUUCGGAAUUACUGGGCGUAAAGGGCUCGUAGGCGGCCAAUUAAGUCAGACGUGAAAUCCCUCAGCUUAACUGGGGAACUGCGUCUGAGACUGGAUGGCUUGAGUGCAGGAGAGGAACGCGGAAUUCCAGGUGUAGCGGUGAAAUGCGUAGAUAUCUGGAGGAACACCGGUGGCGAAGGCGGCGUUCUGGACUGCAACUGACACUGAGGAACGAAGGCCAGGGGAGCAAACGGG